AUUGAACGCUGGCGGCAUGCCUUACACAUGCAAGUCGAACGGCAGCGGGGGAGAAGCUUGCUUUUCCUGCCGGCGAGUGGCGAACGGGUGAGUAAUACAUCGGAACGUGCCCUGUAGUGGGGGAUAACUAGUCGAAAGGUUAGCUAAUACCGCAUACGACCUGAGGGUGAAAGUGGGGGACCGCAAGGCCUCAUGCUAUAGGAGCGGCCGAUGUCUGAUUAGCUAGUUGGUGGGGUAAAGGCCUACCAAGGCGACGAUCAGUAGCUGGUCUGAGAGGACGAUCAGCCACACUGGGACUGAGACACGGCCCAGACUCCUACAGGAGGCAGCAGUGGGGAAUUUUGGACAAUGGGCGAAAGCCUGAUCCAGCAAUGCCGCGUGUGUGAAGAAGGCCUUCGGGUUGUAAAGCACUUUUGUCCGGAAAGAAAUGGCUCUGGUUAAUACCUGGGGUCGAUGACGGUACCGGAAGAAUAAGGACCGGCUAACUACGUGCCAGCCGCCGCCGUAA
rnacentral:rRNA from 1 species